rnacentral:tRNA from 1 species
UUAACUAAAACCAAAAUAGAGGUAUAUCAUUGUUAAUGAUAAAAAUGAAUAAUUUCUAGUUAAA